GAUGAACGCUGGCGGCGUGCUUAACACAUGCAAGUCGAACGGUGAAGGCGGAGCUUGCUCUGCUGGAUCAGUGGCGAACGGGUGAGUAACACGUGAGCAAUCUGCCCCUGACUCUGGGAUAAGCGCUGGAAACGGCGUCUAAUACUGGAUACGAGCUGCGAAGGCAUCUUCAGCAGCUGGAAAGAAUUUCUGUCAGGGAUGAGCUCGCGGCCUAUCAGCUUGUUGGUGAGGUAAUGGCUCACCAAGGCGUCGACGGGUAGCCGGCCUGAGAGGGUGACCGGCCACACUGGGACUGAGACACGGCCCAGACUCCUACGGGAGGCAGCAGUGGAGAAUAUUGCACAAUGGGCGAGAGCCUGAUGCAGCGACGCCGCGUGAGGGACGACGGCCUUCGGGUUGUAAACCUCUUUUAGCAGGGAAGAAGCGAAAGUGACGGUACCUGCAGAGAAAGCGCCGGCUAACUACGUG
rnacentral:rRNA from 1 species